UUACUCUUACGGGAGGCAGCAGUGGGGAAUAUUGGACAAUGGGCGAAAGCCUGAUCCAGCCAUGCCGCGUGUGUGAAGAAGGUCUUCGGAUUGUAAAGCACUUUAAGUUGGGAGGAAGGGCAGUAAGUUAAUACCUUGCUU
rnacentral:rRNA from 1 species